rnacentral:rRNA from 1 species
AACGAACGCUGGCGGCGUGCCUAACACAUGCAAGUCGCGCGCGAAAGUCUUCGGAUGAGUAGAGCAGCGCACGGGUGAGUAACACGUGGGUAAUCUACCCUCGAGACCGGGAUAACCCAGGGAAACUUGGGCUAAUACUGGAUGAGACCACGGGACGAAAGUUCUGUGGGAAAAGCGGAGGACCUCUUCGGAGGCUUCGUACUUGAGGAUGAGCCCGCGUCCCAUCAUGCUAGUUGGCGGGGUAACGGCCCACCAAGGCUAAGACGGGUAGCUGGUCUGAGAGGAUGAUCAGCCACACUGGAACUGAGACACGGUCCAGACUCCUACGGGGGGCAGCAGUGGGGAAUCUUGCGCAAUGGGCGAAAGCCUGACGCAGCAACGCCGCGUGAGUGAUGAAGGUCUUCGGAUCGUAAAGCUCUGUCGACAGGAACGAUGGGUAGCAUGGCUAACAUCCAUGAGACCUGACGGUACCUGUAAAGGAAGCACCGGCUAACUCUGUGCCAGCCGCCGCAGUAAAAC